GAAAUAAUUAAAAAAUAAGCUUCUAACUUAAUUUUAAAGCAUUAAAUUGUUUAUAUUUCU
rnacentral:tRNA from 1 species